AUACGGAGGAUGCGAGCGUUAUCCGGAUUUAUUGGGUUUAAAGGGUGCGUAGGCUGUUUUGUAAGUCAGCGGUGAAAGACCGGGGCCCAACUCCGGAAGUGCCGUUGAUACUGCAUUGCUAGAGUUCCCCUGCCGUGGGAGGAAUGAGUGGUGUAGCGGUGAAAUGCAUAGAUAUCACUCAGAACACCGAUUGCGAAGGCAUCUCACGAAGAGGCAACUGACGCUGAGGCACGAAAGCGUGGGGAUCAAACAGGAUUAGAUACCCUGGUAGUCCACGCUGUAAACGAUGAUGACUAGCUGCCGGCGAUACACUGUCGGUGGCCCAGCGAAAGCGAUAAGUCAUCCACCUGGGGAGUACGACCGCAAGGUUGAA
rnacentral:rRNA from 1 species